GUCUGCCCAUUUAUAUGCUCCAUUCCUUUUAUACUACUGUCUUCAACUGAAGUCUACAACAUCUAGGGAAAUAUAGUGCACAAACAUAAUGGAGACUGCAAUGAUGGUUAUCCUAUAGAUGUUCCUGGGUAUAUUUUCAGUGCUCAGCCUGAUUAAAUAUAGGAGGUAUGGACAGGGCUACUUCUUACUGUCCAGCACUGUCCAUACUUGCUCUAUCCGUAACAGUCAUAUAAUUAACUCCUUCCCCAACCAUGUCCUUCCUUCUCCAGGUAAGCCUGUAUCCUCCUUAGACAACCAAGUCCAUGCAUGUUUUCUUCCUCAUCGAUACCCUUAACAGCUUCCUUCUCCUGCUGUACCCACACCAGAAUCUUUAACCUUCAGUAAC